UACCUACGGGACGCAGCAGUAGGGAAUUUUCGUCAAUGGGCGCAAGCCUGAACGAGCAAUGCCGCGUGAACGAGGAAGGUCUUCGGAUCGUAAAGUUCUGUUGAAGGGGAAAAAGAGCGGAGAGAGGAAAUGCUUUCUGAUUGAUAUUACCCUUCGAGGAAGUCACGGCUAACUACGUGCCAGCAGCCGCGGUAAUACGUGGGGGGCAAGCGUUAUCCGGAAUUACUGGGUGUAAAGGGAGCGUAGACGGUGAUGUAAGUCUGGAGUGAAAGGCGGGGGCCCAACCCCCGGACUGCUCUGGAAAC
rnacentral:rRNA from 1 species